rnacentral:rRNA from 1 species
UACGUAGGGUGCGAGCGUUGUCCGGAAUUAUUGGGCGUAAAGAGCUCGUAGGCGGCUUGUCACGUCGGUUGUGAAAGCCCGGGGCUUAACCCCGGGUCUGCAGUCGAUACGGGCAGGCUAGAGUUCGGUAGGGGAGAUCGGAAUUCCUGGUGUAGCGGUGAAAUGCGCAGAUAUCAGGAGGAACACCGGUGGCGAAGGCGGAUCUCUGGGCCGAUACUGACGCUGAGGAGCGAAAGCGUGGGGAGCGAACAGU